GACAAACCUUGCCUCUCUCGUUUGUAGCAGAGCAAGUUGAAGAUUGCAGAUCUUGCAUUCCUGUAUUUGGCAGCGAAGCAGAUCAAAGAUGGCAGAUUUUACCUCCCUGACUACAGUGGAGUACAUUGAAGCCGAUAACUCUAUCUCCCUGUAUUUGGCAGUGGAAUAGAUUGAAUAUCAAAGAUGGCAGAUUUUACCUCCAUGUGACUACAGUGGAGUACAUUGAAGCCGAUAACUCUAUCUCCCUGUAUUUGGCAGUGGAAUAGAUUGAAGAUCGAAGAUGGCAGAUUUUACCUCCCUGACUACAGUGGAGUACAUUGAAGCCGAUAACUCUAU
rnacentral:lncRNA from 1 species